AUUGAACGCUAGCGGCAUGCUUAACACAUGCAAGUCGAACGGUAGCAGCUCUAGCUUGCUAGAGGCUGACGAGUGGCGGACGGGUGAGUAACGCGUAGGAAUCUACCUUGUAGUGGGGAAUAACUUGGGGAAACUCAAGCUAAUACCGCAUAAGCCUGAAAGGGGAAAGCCGGGGACCGAAAGGCCUGGCGCUAUGAGAUGAGCCUGCGUCGGAUUAGCUAGUUGGUGGGGUAAAGGCCUACCAAGGCGAGGAUCCGUAGCUGGUCUGAGAGGACGACCAGCCACACUGGGACUGAGACACGGCCCAGACUCCUACGGGAGGCAGCAGUGGGGAAUAUUGGACAAUGGGGGCAACCCUGAUCCUGCAAUGCCGCGUGUGUGAAGAAGGCCUGCGGGUUGUAAAGCACUUUCGGCGGGGAGGAAGGUUUUUUUGGUUAAUAACCGAAGAGAUUUGACGUUACCCGCAUAAGAAGCACCGGCUAACUCUGUGCCAGCAGCCGCCGUAACAC
rnacentral:rRNA from 1 species